UGUGGGAUUCAAUCCCAGGAACCCAGGAUCAUGACCUGAGCCAAAGGCAGACGCUCGACCACUGAGCCACCCAGGUGCCUCUCUCUUUCUGUUUUCUAAAGUGCAGUGGAAAGCCCUCAUGUCUGUAGCCACUAACUUUGUUCCUUGGUCUGAAGGCUUUGUCCUAUGCCAAUCUCUGCUUCCUUCAUGGUUUCUCCUAUCUCCAUCAAGACAGUUCCAAACCCCCAGGCAAGGACUCUGCCCCAUUCCCAAGCUCCCAGGCCUGAGGCAUUGUGCAUCAACCUGAAAAAAAACAGCUUAUAUUUGCUGACAGACCAAUGAUCCAUCUUUCUUUCCCCAGUAACACUAUGUGCUUUUUGGCGAGGGUUCAUUUGGAGAUAAUGCCUCGCUUUUCAAAUUCCCAAAGGGGAAUUUUCAAGUAAUAUGAUAAGGCAGCACCAAGGCAACACCAAGGCAGCCCAGUUUGCCCAAUAUCAGGGCCAGAUGAUUCCCUUGCAUCCUAGACUGCCUCACCCUCCUCAGACAGGUAGAGGGGACUUUGCCUUAAUGUACAUACCUACCAAGGUGCUAGGAACAUGACCUUCUGGGAAGAGGAUGCUCCCUCCCUCUCUGCCAGCAUUUCCUGGUGUACCAGGGAAUAUUACCAACCUAUGAUGCUGUUAGCCUAUUGGACAAACACAGAUCCUACUGCACAACGUUCAUGAGGCACCUUUCUCUGAAACACAAAAGAGGCCAAGGUCAGCCUUGGACUAAAUAUGGUUGUUCAUAUAUCCUUUAUAAAAAAAAUAAAAAAUAUAUAUUCUGUA